AUGAAAGCGGGCACGAGUCUCCUCCCUUCCUGCCACCUUCCGGGUCAUUCCUUUCCUUGGCGCCCCCUCCUCCGCGCGUCCUCUCGCCGAUCCCACGCGGUCCGGUCGCCGGUCGUCGCCCGCCUAUACUUGAGGAUAUAUAUUUAUCCCGCGCGCGCCAUUCGCGGCCGCCCCGGCGAUCUGCCACCGCUCGUGUUCGGUAUUUCUUUGGGGCGGAGGAGGGCUGUCAUGGGGGAGCCGGUGGAGGCAGAGGCGCCGGCCGCGUCGUCGACCACGGUGGAGAUGGAGGCCGCGGAGCAGCUCAUCCAGCUCAGCGGCGGCGGCUGCGACGACGACGGCGCUGAGUCGGAGAGCAAGAGCGCGGACAGCGUCAGGGCAGCCGGCGAGAAGGGGCCGGCCGUGGUGAGCAAGAGCGCGGACAGCGUCAAGGCAGCUGGCGAGAAGGCGCGGGCCGUGGAGAGCAAGAGCGCGGAGAGCGUCAUGGCAGCCGGCGAGAAGCGGGGAGAUGGUAAAGAGGGGGUGCCCGCCGUGGAGAGCAGCACCGGGAAGAGACGCGAGAAACUCGGUGGGCCCAAGGGUGGCGGACAAGACGAGGAGGCCGUCAUCGGCGGGGUCGCGAGGAGGAGGCCGAGGUUCCGGUCGCUGGCGGCGAUAUACAGGAACACGAGGAGGAUGGACGACCACGGGCACUGGCGCGAGGAGCCGGAAGAGGAAGAGAUGGGUGAGGGGAAGGGGGAGAAAAAGAAGACAAGGGCGAUGGGUGGAGCGGCCGCCGACGACGGCGAGGCGAUCCCCGCGACGGCGCCGUGCAAGGCCAAGGCCAAGAGAGCGGUACGCCCAAGAACUAGCUAG
rnacentral:rRNA from 1 species